AAGGUUUCCAGAGUAAAGCUGAUCUGCUCUGGGUAAGUCGGGGCCUAAGGCGAGGUCGAAAGACGUAGUCGAUGGAUAACAGGUUGAAAUUCCUGUACCGCAUAUAUUCAGAAAUGUGGGGACACAGAUGGAGAGUACAGCCCGGGAAUGGAUAGACCGGGGCAAGCGAGGUAGGAGAAUGGCAGGCAAAUCCACCAUUCAAUCUGAAGACGUGACGCGUACCGAACAAGAGUAGGGAAGUGUAUGAGCCAGCUGUCGAGAAAAGCCGCUAUUGCGUUUAAUGCACCCGUACCGUAAACCGACACAGGUGGAUGAGGAGAGAAUCCUAAGGCCGGCGGGAGAAGCAUUGUUAAGGAACUCGGCAAAAUGACCCCGUAACUUCGGGAGAAGGGGUGCCUGCGAGAGCAGGCCGCAGAGAAUAGGCUCAAGCAACUGUUUAGCAAAAACACAGGUCUAUGCGAAACCGAAAGGUGAAGUAUAUGGGCUGACGCCUGCCCGGUGCUGGAAGGUUAAGAGGAGAGGUUAGCGUAAGCGAAGCUUUGAAUUUAAGCCCCAGUAAACGGCGGCCGUAACUAUAACGGUCCUAAGGUAGCGAAAUUCCUUGUCGGGUAAGUUCCGACCCGCACGAAAGGCGUAAUGAUUUGAGCACUGUCUCGACAAUGCAUCCGGUGAAAUUGAAGUACCAGUGAAGAUGCUGGUUACCUGCGCCAGGACGGAAAGACCCCAUGGAGCUUUACUCCAGUUUGAUACUGGGAUUCGGUACUGCAUGUACAGGAUAGGUGGGAGACGAAGAAGGAUGGACGCCAGUCUGUCCGGAGUCGCUGUUGGGAUACCACCCCUGUAGUACUGGGUUUCUAACCAGUUGCCAUGAACUGGCAAUGGGACAAUGUCAGGCGGGGAGUUUGACUGGGGCGGUCGCCUCCGAAAGGGUAUCGGAGGCGCUCAAAGGUUCCCUCAGAAUGGUUGGAAACCAUUCGAAGAGUGCAAAGGCAGAAGGGAGCUUGACUGCGACACCGACGGGUGGAGCAGGUACGAAAGUAGGACUUAGUGAUCCGGUGGUAUAAAGUGGGAUUGCCAUCGCUCAACGGAUAAAAGCUACCCUGGGGAUAACAGGCUUAUCACUCCCAAGAGUUCACAUCGACGGAGUGGUUUGGCACCUCGAUGUCGGCUCAUCGCAUCCUGGGGCUGUAGUAGGUCCCAAGGGUUGGGCUGUUCGCCCAUUAAAGCGGUACGCGAGCUGGGUUCAGAACGUCGUGAGACAGUUCGGUCCCUAUCCGGCGUGGGCGUAGGAUAUUUGAGAGGAGCUGUCCUUAGUACGAGAGGACCGGGAUGGACGGACCACUGGUGUAUCUGUUGUCGACCAACGGCAUGGCAGAGUAGCCAAGUCUGGAAGGGAUAAACGCUGAAGGCAUCUAAGCGUGAAGCCCCCCUCAAGAUGAGAUAUCCCAUUCGAAAGAAGUAAGACCCCUUGAAGACGACGAGGUAGAUAGGGCAGAGGUGGAAGUGUGGCAACACAUGGAGCUGACUGUUACUAAUAGGUCGAGGGCUUAAUCU
rnacentral:rRNA from 1 species